AUUGAACGCUGGCGGCAGGCUUAACACAUGCAAGUCGAGCGAGCGGCGGACGGGUGAGUAAUGUCUGGGAAACUGCCUGAUGGAGGGGGAUCACUACUGGAAACGGUAGCUAAUACCGCAUUACCUGAUAUGCGCCCAGAUGGGUGUAGCUAGUAGGUGGGGUAAUGGCUCACCUAGGCGACGAUCCCUAGCUGGUCGGAGAGGAUGAUCAGCCACACUGGAACUGAGACACGGUCCAGACUCCUACGGGAGGCAGCAGUGGGGAAUAUUGCACAAUGGGCGCAAGCCUGAUACAGCCAUGCCGCGUGUGUGAAGAAGGCCUUCGGGUUGUAAAGCACUUUCAGCGAGGAGGCGUUACUGGCAGAAGAAGCACCGGCUAACUCCGUGCCAGCAGCCGCGGUAAUAC
rnacentral:rRNA from 1 species